rnacentral:rRNA from 1 species
GAUGAACGCUGGCGGCGUGCCUAAUACAUGCAAGUCGAGCGAACGGACGAGAAGCUUGCUUCUCUGAUGUUAGCGGCGGACGGGUGAGUAACACGUGGAUAACCUACCUAUAAGACUGGGAUAACUUCGGGAAACCGUAGCUAAUACCGGAUAAUAUUUUGAACCGCAUGGUUCAAAAGUGAAAGACGGUCUUGCUGUCACUUAUAGAUGGAUCCGCGCUGCAUUAGCUAGUUGGUAAGGUAACGGCUUACCAAGGCAACGAUGCAUAGCCGACCUGAGAGGGGGAUCGGCCACCCUGGAACUGAGACACGGUCCAGACUCCUACGGGAGGCAGCAGUAGGGAAUCUUCCGCAAUGGGCGAAAGCCUGACGGAGCAACGCCGCGUGAGUGAUGAAGGUCUUCGGAUCGUAAAACUCUGUUAUUAGGGAAGAACAUAUGUGUAAGUAACUGUGCACAUCUUGACGGUACCUAAUCAGAAAGCCACGGCUAACUACGUG